rnacentral:rRNA from 1 species
GGGGAAUUUUGCACAAUGGGCGAAAGCCUGAUGCAGCGACGCCGCGUGGGUGAUGAAGGUCUUCGGAUUGUAAAGCCCUGUCGGGGGGGAUGAACACUUCCAUAGCUAACAUCUAUGGGAUUUGACCGUACCCCCAAAGGAAGCACCGGCUAACUCCGUGCCAGCAGCCGCGGUAAUACGGAGGGUGCAAGCGUUGUUCGGAAUUAUUGGGCGUAAAGCGCCUGUAGGCGGGUAGGGUAGUUGGGUGUGAAAUCCCCGGGCUUAACUCGGGAAUUGCGCCCAAAACCACCUAUCUAGAGUACCAAAAGGGCACGUGGAAUUCCCAGUGUAGCAGUGAAAUGCGUAGAUAUUGGGAGGAACACCGGUGGUGAAGACGACGUGCUGGGUGGUAACUGACGCUGAGAGGCGAAAGCGUGGAUAGCAAAC